GGUCAGUGGCGGACGGGUGAGUAACGCGUAGGAACGUAUCCAGGGGUGGGGGACAACGCUGGGAAACUGGCGCUAAUACCGCAUGUGAGCUGAGGCUCAAAGCCGCGAGGCGCCUUUGGAGUGGCCUGCGUCCGAUUAGCUUGUUGGUGGGGUAAAGGCUUACCAAGGCUUCGAUCGGUAGCUGGUCUGAGAGGACGACCAGCCACACUGGGACUGAGACACGGCCCAGACUCCUACGGGAGGCAGCAGUGGGGAAUAUUGGACAAUGGGCGCAAGCCUGAUCCAGCAAUGCCGCGUGGGUGAAGAAGGUCUUCGGAUCGUAAAGCCCUUUCGACGGGGACGAUGAUGACGGUACCCGUAGAAGAAGCCCCGGCUAACUUCGUGCCAGCAGCCGCGGUAAUACGAAGGGGGCUAGCGUUGCUCGGAAUUACUGGGCGUAAAGGGCGCGUAGGCGGUCAUUUUAGUCAGGCGUGAAAUUCCCGGGCUUAACCUGGGGACUGCGUUUGAUA
rnacentral:rRNA from 1 species